CCAGGCCACACUCUUAGAUAAUCCCACAGUGAAAUUGCAGACUGCUAGCGUCUUAAACCCAGCUACAUUACUUCUCUCUACCAAAGAGCCAAAAGAACCUAUAACUGUUUAGAAAUUAUUGACCAGGUAUUUUCCAGUCGCCCUCACUUAAAGGACACAGCCCUUCCACAGGCAGACUGGAUAUUGUGGAUGGGAGCAGCCUGGUAACCAAUGAAAGAAGGAAUGCUGCAUAUGCUGUGGUAACCUUUUCAGAGGUAAUAGAAGUAAGGACUUCACCAAUAGGAACCUCUGCACAGAAAGCAGAACUGAUUAUCUUUACUACAGCCCUGCAGCUAGCUGUCCCAAGUAAACAACGCUCUUGGAGUAAAUUGGAAACUCACACAGCAUGGAAACCACAACCUUCUGGACAGACUGAAAGGAUGAAUCAAACACGAAAACAGUGCCAAACUGUGCCAACUAAAAUGGAUUCAGGUACUCAGCAUUGUACUGCUUUGGCCUGGUGAUCAAGUGCUGCUGAAAGAAUAAAGAGAAAUGAGCCCAAGUCAGCAGCUACAGGAGAAAUAGAAAGGGCCCCAUGACAUGCUGCUGACUACCAAUUUGGCAAUGAAACUGGCUGGCAUCAAGCCAUGGAUCCACCACAUGCCCGUGAAGAAGUUCCUGCCGGAGGAAACAUUCAUGACACAGGACACCAAGGCUGCCAAAUGGGAGACAGAACCCCUUGAAGGCCUAGGAUUUCUGUUCAAAAGAUGAUAAAGUAUUGUUUUACAUUGUUACAUUGCUGCUUUACAUUGCUGCUGUUUUACAUUGUUAUUUCUGCGUACCUCUAACCUUUUCCUACAAUGGGCAAAGGUUAUGCAAAUAGCUUACAGCAAGACUCUUGCUGGGUCUGUGCUCUAUUACCCCUCUCUGGCACCAUGGGGCUGCCUUGGUGCAUCCCCCACAUACAAGGAAAAAUUAGGUUUAUAAUAUCUUGAUUUUGUAGAACACCUUCCUGGUGGCAGAAAAUUCUUCUUGUCCUAGCUGCCUUCCUGGGCAUGAGCAUAAUACUAUGUUGUGAACUAUAUUAUUGUUAUAUGCUGUUCCAAAACAUUCCUCAGGCUCACAAGAUCAUGUCUUAUCAGGCGCUGCCUUUGAGUCUCUAAAGCCAGAAACAUUACCAGCACCAGAUAGACAUCUUCCACUCUAGCACCCCUUGAUGACAACCCUCUUCAGCAGGAAGUAGAUGGAGGGAAUGCAUACCCACUUUCCCUUAGUCGGCUAUGUCAUAGUUUACACUUUUGCACUAGCCUUUUAACAAACCAGUACUUGAAAAAAUUAACUAACAUGCUAGAAAUCACGUACAAAUUGACAGUGGGGAUUGUGGCAGGCCAGGUUUCCAUUAGCAACCAGAACAGUCAGUUUUCACUAAUCCUUUACUAUAACUCUGAUGAAUAUAUAAGUUAAACAUUAAAGAACUGGAGAAACUGGUCACUAAGUACAAUGGCUGGAAUGCAAAAACAAACCCAUUAAGACCCCAGACCCUAAUGAUUAGAUACAGAUUGAAAGAAACACUCCUGCUUGUAGGUGCACUCCCACACAUAGGCAGAGAGCUUAAAAUGUGUAUAUGCACUAGAAAAAAUAUUGUAACUGCGUUGGUCUGAUGAGUUACUCUGACCUUCUCCUUGUAACUGGUUGCAAAAAUAAACUUUCUUUUUCCCCAGUCUGUCUGCAUCUCAUUAUUGGACUGCGAGAACAAGCCACCAGACCUCUUUCUGUCCGGGAAUACAGUGAACCCAAUAUAUCUGAGACAGACGGAGUCUCCCUCUGUUGCUGUGUCGCCCACGCUGGAGUGUAGUGGCACAACAUCUGCUCACUGCAACUUCUGACACUCAGGUUCAAGCUGUUCUCCUGCUCAGCCUUCCAAAUAGCUGGAACUACAGGCAUGUGCCACUACGCCUGUCUAAUUUUUUAUUUUUAGUAGAGAUGGGGUUUCACCAUGUUGGUCAGGCUGGUCUCAAACUCCUGACCUCGGGUGAUCCACCCUCUUCGGCCUCCCAACAAGCCAAAUUCUUGACUGAAAAUUUUAUCUAUUGUUAAUGGCACAAAUUAAUUACUAUAUAUUCCAUAAAGUCUUUCUUGACUCUCUCCACACUCCCUCCCUGGAGAGGUGAUUUCUCUUUACUCUUACCUUUUUAUCCUUGGUUAUUUUAUUAGCUCAUUUAUGAACUUGUUUAGAAACAGGUCCAUUCUUCUGAAUGUUAGCAGCCAUUUCUUAAUUUUUUCUCAUUUUUAUAUUCAACCAUGUUGAACAUGGUGAAAGAUCAAUAGAUAGCGAGGAAUAAAGGUUAAUACAAAUGAUAUUUCAUUCCAUGAUCUCGUUGGUUCAUUGAACCCAAUCACUCCUGUUAAUUAAAGCAAAGUUUCCUGGUGUUGCUAUAAUUUUUUAAAAUGUAAAAGUGCAAGAAAAAUUUUGGCGAAGAGAAAUUUGGUCAAGUAAUUUUCAAAAGAGAUAGGUAAGUUAGAUAAUAUUAAGCAUCACUGUAACUUUUCUAUUUUAUCAUCCAACAAAGCAUGAAGUGCUAUGUAAUAGGCAGUUUGAACCAUCUCCGAUAACAUACACCUGCACAAUAAGGCAAAACAGCAAAUACAUUGCCCAAGUAAAAAGAUUUGAAAAUGCAGUGUAAUCACAUAAAUGCUAAAUCAUUAGGCCCAAAACAUUCCCUGAAAUUUAUGUAGUAGAGAAAACGUAAGAGGCUCCCAUAACACUUUCUUCUCUAUGAAGCCUUUACCAAAUGAUGAGGACAAAAAAGAUAAUUACCUCCUAACCUAUUCUGAUUGAACAUGCAACUCUCUCCACUCGCCCCCCUCUUUUUCCUCAUCUGCACAUCAUAUAAAUGUAGUACUGUCUUUGGGUAGCUCCUUUACU
rnacentral:lncRNA from 10 species